rnacentral:rRNA from 1 species
GACGUAGGGCGCGAGCGUUGUCCGGAUUUAUUGGGCGUAAAGAGCUCGUAGGCGGUCUGUCACGUCGGCUGUGAAAACCCGGGGCUCAACCCCGGGCCUGCAGUCGAUACGGGCAGACUAAAGUGCGGUAGGGGAGACUGGAAUUCCUGGUGUAGCGGUGAAAUGCGCAGAUAUCAGGAGGAACACCGGUGGCGAAGGCGGGUCUCUGGGCAGUAACUGACGCUGAGGAGCGAAAGCGUGGGGAGCGAACAGG